UACGAAGGGGGCUAGCGUUGCUCGGAAUCACUGGGCGUAAAGCGCACGUAGGCGGAUUGUUAAGUCAGGGGUGAAAUCCCGGAGCUCAACUCCGGAACUGCCUUUGAUACUGGCGAUCUUGAGUCCGGGAGAGGUGAGUGGAACUGCGAGUGUAGAGGUGAAAUUCGUAGAUAUUCGCAAGAACACCAGUGGCGAAGGCGGCUCACUGGCCCGGUACUGACGCUGAGGCACGAAAGCGUGGGGAGCAAACAGG
rnacentral:rRNA from 1 species